rnacentral:rRNA from 1 species
UACGUAGGGGCUAGCGUUAUCCGGAAUUACUGGGCGUAAAGGGUGCGUAGGUGGUUCGUUAAGUCUGAUGUGAAAGCCCUGGGCUCAACCUGGGAAUUGCAUUGGAUACUGGCGGGCUAGAGUGCGGUAGAGGGUAGUGGAAUUCCAGGUGUAGCAGUGAAAUGCGUAGAUAUCGGGAGGAACAUCCGUGGCGAAGGCGACUGCCUGGACCAGCACUGACACUGAGGCACGAAAGCGUGGGGAGCAAACAGGAUUAGAUACCCU